AGUGAACGCUGGCGGUAGGCCUAAUACAUGCAAGUCGAACGACAGUUCAGUAAGAGCUUGCGCUUACGCGCGGCGAUAAGCGGAUGGGUGAGGAAUACAUCGGAAUCACCUUUUCCGCCGGGCCUAACGUAGGGGAUAACACGCGGAUACAGCUGAUAAUCCACCAUUGCAAUCAUUACCUCUUCGGACCUAUCUCAAUUGUAUGUAUCGUAGUCGGAUUAGCUGGUUGGCGGGGUAAAGGCCUACCAAGGCGACGAUCCGUAGCUGGAUUGAGAGGAUGAUCAGCCACACUGGAACUGAGACACGGUCCAGACUCCUACGGGAGGCAGCAGUGGGGAAUAUUGGACAAUGGGCGCAAGCCUGAUCCAGCCAUACCGCGUGGGUGAAGAAGGUCUUCGGGUUGUAAAGCCCUGUUGUUAGGAAAGAAAAGCAGCGAGUUAAUAUGCCGCUGUUCUGACGGUACCCAAAGAAUAAGCACCGGCUAACUACGUG
rnacentral:rRNA from 1 species